UUUUAAUAUUUCUCUCCUUUUUGUGUUCUUAGAAAAAAAUAGAAUUAUUAAUAUAAUAAACCUAUACAUUUAAAUUAUGAGUUUGGUCAUCUGAACUUUUAAUUAAUUAAGUUCAUGUGUUUGUAUGUAUUUAUUCUUUUUCUUUAAGCAGGUUGGCAACAUUGUACAAGUCACCCAGCCAGAAGGAAUGCACAGUACUGUUUCAAAUCAAACCUCAGGGAUUUAGAGAUACUGUUGUUACUUCUGCAUGUUCAUUGCAAACAGAAGGUUCCUUGAGCACCCGGAAACGGUCACGAGACCCAGAUGAAGAAUUAUAACCCAGAAACAAAUCUCAAAAGUGUACAAAUUUAUUGAUGUUGUGAAAUCAUUGUGUACAAGUGGACUUGUUAAAGUAUAAAUAAACACACUAUGGCAUGAAUGAA
rnacentral:sRNA from 1 species